rnacentral:rRNA from 1 species
UAGGCCUACGGGGGGCAGCAGUGAGGAAUAUUGGUCAAUGGACGAAAGUCUGAACCAGCCAUGCCGCGUGCAGGAAGACGGCUCUAUGAGUUGUAAACUGCUUUUGUACAAGGGUAAACCUGAAUACGUGUGUUCAGCUGAAAGUACUGUACGAAUAAGGAUCGGCUAACUCCGUGCCAGCAGCCGCGGUAAUACGGAGGAUCCAAGCGUUAUCCGGAUUUAUUGGGUUUAAAGGUUGCGUAGACGGAUGGAUAAGUUAGAGGUGAAUUGUCCGGGCUCAACUCG